rnacentral:lncRNA from 1 species
UUGUUGAGAGAAGAGAUAUGGAUUCUGGUGAGGGAGUAAGGGACAAGGAGUAAAGAAAGGAGUAAGCCAGAAAGCAAGAAGAGAGAAACAAAAUCAAGCAGAAGGAUGUUGCAAGUGAUUGGAGGAAGGGUGGAAUAACUGGGUCUCUUCCAUUCCAGAAGCCAAGCAGAAAGAAGGUUGGAUUGCUGGUUAAAGAGUUUCAGAGGUUCAGUCCAUGAUCAUCAUGGCAGGCAGACACGGUGUUGAAGGAGCUAAAAGUUCUACCUCUUGAUGGGAAGACAACCAGGAGGAGACUGUCUUCUGCAGACAGCCAGGAUGAAACUGUCUUCCCCAUUGGAUGAAGCUUGAAUCUGCAGAGGCUUCCAGGGGUGAAGGACGGUUUUUACUUUGAAAUUAGCACUGAGAUCAACGAACAGAUCUUCCAAGCACCUGAGAAGGGCAUGUAUCCCUUUUCAACCAUCGCCUUCCAAGAAUUUCCUCUGUGCUGACUUUCUACUGCACACUUCAGUGUACUGCUGUGUAACAAACAAAUGUAAAACUCCAGUGUCUAUAUAGUCCGUGUAUCCUGCUUGGGGUCUUGCCUAUGGCUACUGGUGUGGCACAUUUGUUCUCUAAGAGGAUGGCCAGUACAUAGAUGGUGGCGGAGGCUAAGAGAACAAACAAAUUUUGGAUUUAAGUUUAUCUAAAGAUAUUUGAUGUCAUGUUUUAGCAACAUGGUGGUUGUCGAUCUGGCUUUUGGCUCAAUAUUCGUUUGACCUGAAAAUAUUUCACUUACACUUAUGGCAUGUCCAUUGUCUCCAACGGCUUACAUCAUAGUCUGUCGGUUCUAGGAGCCAGCCAUCACUGAUUGGCUUUGCUUGUUCCCUUUUGUUUUGUCUUGUUUCAGUUUCCAGCCAUCUGGAGCUCGUGGGAAGCCCAAUGCCUGUUCAUGCCACUAGGUGGCAGUUUCGUCUCAACAAGAUAAGUGGCGGACAGGCUCUCUUCAUGCUAAAGUCUGCAUCAGGCAGGCUGGGCCUGGGUGGGCAGCUUAGCUUGCCUGGUGAAGAAGAAACCAGGAACUAAAUACCAACGUUAAAGGUAGCAGAGUCAUGGGAAAACCAUCCUGUGGAAGAUGGUGAAAUUUUCCUUUAGUCAUAAUUUCCAUGAAGAGUUAGAGAAAAGCUAACCACAGCCGUAUGGGUAAGAGGAGGUGUGGAGCAAAAACGGACCAGAUGAUACAGAGAAGCUGAGGAGCCUCCUGCCCACCCUACAUGGUGGAGCCCAGGCCUUCUGGAUGAAGGCAGAAGGCGCAGUGUGCGGGGUAGGAAAAACUGGGCCCCUAAAAACUUCGUGGUUGGAUUCUCCUAUGGGGAGAGAAAAGUGGGGGGAGGGGCUUUAGAUGGAACUGAGUGAGGGUCCUUCCCACUGACUUCAGUGGAAAUGGUUGUCACCUCCAAAAUGCAGUAUGCAGACGUAGCUCUGCGUGCGUUAAAAAGGCCAAGAGCGGUUGAUGUUUAAAUUUGUGGAUUUAGUGCAAAAAACUUGAUCUGCGUGUUUAAAUGGUACUCUUCACACGUCUCUGGAUUAGGCAACUCACCUGCCUUUUCCCCAUAAGAAACUUGAAGCCACGAGCCAAUGUGACUCCCAGAGUUGCAGAGCAAGAGAUGGGGGAUUAGAACCCAGCACUCUCUUGCUGACGAUCACUGAGGAUUGCUGAGUCCCCAGACAGGCCCAAGGAAACCAGAACCUGGUGUCUAUAUUCUUACAGUGCAACACUCUCGGUCACAUGAAGGACUGUUUUAAUUUUCACAUACAAAGAACCCAAAUAGUUCCUUACUUUUUUGGUUGCUGCUACUAAUCCCACAAAAACUGCUAAGACGUCAGGGCCUGUACCAAGCCCCUGGACAGAGACGACAUCACAGGGUGUGGAGCUCCUGAUUAUCAGAAAUGGCAGCACACAUGAGUGGACUGGCUUUCUUGUUUCUACCACACACUACCAGAGCCUGGGUUAUAAAAAGGGGAGCCAGAGGCAAGUGGUAAAGGACAAAGCAGCACAGCUUCUCCCAGGGCACCCUCUGCAAACUCAUCCCUCACCACUCGCCCCUGCAAACCCUCAGGCUGUGUCUUCUGUAAGUCUGUUAAGAAGAAGCAAAUGCAUAUGCUCUGAGAAGAGGAGAGGGUAGCAUGCUCUCCUGACGGCUGCAGUGUCUCAAGGAUCCAAAUGGCAGUGCCCUCGUCUACACACUGGGUCGGCAGAAAAACAAAGCAGCCAAAGGUCACACAGACUGAGCCAGUGCCCUGCAGAUCCGUCAGUUGUGUAGAUCUGAGGCCAGCAGACUCACUAGCUUCACCUUGAGACAACUUGCCCCCCUCAAGAGGACAUAUGCAGAGAGAUGGUAUUUUCUCUUGGAUUCGAUCUUAAUUCUUUGCCUUGUGUCCUUAGGUUGGAACACAUAGUGCCUCUGAGCCUCAGGUUUCCUGUUUGUAUAGUGAAGAUGAUGUUAAUUCAUAAAGCUGUUUUAAGAAGUAAAUAAAAUAAAC